AACUAACAAGGAUUCCCCUAGUAACGGCGAGUGAAGAGGGAAGAGCUCAAAUUUGAAAGCUGGUACCUUCGGUAUCCGCGUUGUAACCUCGAGACACGUUUUCCGUGCGGCGCUAUGGACAAGUUCCUUGGAACAGGACAUCGUAGAGGGUGAAAAUCCCGUACUUGCCAUGGAUGUACCGUGCUUUGCGAUACGUGCUCUAAGAGUCGAGUUGUUUGGGAUUGCAGCUCAAAAUGGGUGGUAGACUCCAUCUAAAGCUAAAUAUCGGGGAGAGACCGAUAGCGAACAAGUACCGUGAGGGAAAGAUGAAAAGCACUUUGGAAAGAGAGUUAAAAGUACGUGAAAUUGUCGAAAGGGAAGCGCUUGAAGUCAGCCAUGCCGCUCAGGACUCAGCCUGGCUUUUGCUUGGUGUAUUUCCUGGGUAGCAAGUCAGCAUUGGUUUGGAUCGUCGGAGAAGCAUAGUCGGAAUGUGGCGCCCUCGGGCGUGUUAUAGCCUUCUAUUGGAUACGACGAUCUAGACCAAGGAACGCAGCGCGCCUUAUGGCGGGUCUUCGGACACCUUCGCGCUUAGGAUGCUGGCGUAAUGGCUUUAAGUGGCCCGUCUUGAACA
rnacentral:rRNA from 1 species